rnacentral:rRNA from 1 species
UACGGAGGGUGCAAGCGUUAUCCGGAUUCACUGGGUUUAAAGGGUGCGUAGGCGGCUUGAUAAGUCAGUGGUGAAAGCUCGCAGCUUAACUGUGAAACUGCCAUUGAAACUGUCUGGCUUGAGUACAAUUGAAGUGGGCGGAAUACAUCAUGUAGCGGUGAAAUGCUUAGAUAUGAUGUAGAACACCGAUUGCGAAGGCAGCUCACUAAAUUGCAACUGACGCUGAGGCACGAAAGCGUGGGUAGCGAACAGG